CCCUCCUCCUCUGAGAAGACCUGGACCUCCAGGAACUCCUUAUCCUGCCAGAGCCUGGGCACUCCCACCAGCUUCAGAUGGGCUUGAGGAACCAAUUCCAAUGCACAGCUUCCACGGAUGAGCAAUGGAGGACAGAACGGAAUAGAGCAGGAAUAAGCAAGGGUGCUGAUGCAAGAUAUAGCCGCUACUCAGGAAGCUGAGGUGGGGAGGAUCACCUGAGCCUGGGAAGCAGAUGGCACAGUGAGCCGAGAUCGCGCCACUGCAAUCCAGCCUGGAAGACAGGA